GUUCAACCUAAACAGUGCACGUGGAAUACAGAGAUGCCCUAAAUAUAUAUAGAGAGAAUACGGACAUUCCUUCAAUAUGCACAAAUAAAUAUGAAAGUGUAAAUGCCUAUGCUCUAGAAGGGGUUUAAAACGCAAAAGAAAGACAAAAACCUGUUUAUCGAAAGAAUUUAACAGCUCGAUCCCCCUCUGAACAUCCCCCAGCUGCUCCCAAUCCCUCCCAGAAAUCAGCUGCUCCCACCGCGUUAAUCAGCGCCCUUCGCAGCAACUUUUCAAUCAGGUUUAACUCUCUGCACCUGGGCAGAGCAGAAUUUAUCCUUCCCGGGCGGGCCUUCCACACCUGCCGCGGCUUUUUCUCCUGCUGUACCUGGGUGUGCCCGGGUGUGUCCCCGGCGGGACGAGCGGAGGCGCCGAGCCCGGAGCGAGCGGGCACCGAACACCGGACACGGGCACCGAGGUUUAACUUGCAUAACAUCACAGAUCCUCCUCCAAAGCCAAUGCAUUAAUUGCUGGGGAAGAACAGGAAAACAUAAAGAGCCUUUCAAGGGAAUAAUUUUCUAAAAGUCAGAAUCUGCAAAGCUUAUUUCUGAUAUCACGAGUGCAAUGGAAAUAUUCAGCAAGGUAAGAAACUCCUGCUCCAGGGCUGAAAUCCUCUCUGCUCCUCCUGGAGAGGGA
rnacentral:lncRNA from 1 species